UUGGAGGGCAAGUCUGGUGCCAGCAGCCGCGGUAACUCCAGCUCCAAUAGCGUAUAUUAAAGUUGCUGCAGUUAAAAAGCUCGUAGUUGAAUUUCGGGACCAUCAUGUCGGUCGUGCCUCGGUACGUACUGGCAUCGUCGGUUUCUCCCUUCUGACGAACCAUGAUGUCAUUUAUUUGGUGUCGUGGGGAAUCAGGACUGUUACUUUGAAAAAAUUAGAGUGUUUAAAGCAGGCUCACGCUUGAAUACAUUAGCAUGGAAUAAUGAAAUAGGACGUUUGAUUCUAUUUUGUUGGUUUCUAGGAUCGACGUAAUGAUUAAUAGGGAUAGUUGGGGGCACUAGUAUUCAAUUGUCAGAGGUGAAAUUCUUGGAUUUAUUGAAGACUAACUACUGCGAAAGCAUUUGCCAAGGACGUUUUCAUUAAUCAAGAACGAAAGUUAGGGGAUCGAAGACGAUCAGAUACCGUCGUAGUCUUAACCAUAAACUAUGCCGACUAGGGAUCGGAUGAUGUUAAUUUUUUAAUGACUCAUUCGGCGCCUUACGGGAAAC
rnacentral:rRNA from 1 species